ACGAACGCUGGCGGCGUGCCUAAUACAUGCAAGUUGAGCGCUGAAGGUUGGUACUUGUACCCACUGGAUGAGCAGCGAACGGGUGAGUAACGCGUGGGGAAUCUGCCUUUGAGCGGGGGACAACAUUUGGAAACGAAUGCUAAUACCGCAUAAAAACUUUAAACACAAGUUUUAAGUUUGAAAGAUGCAAUUGCAUCACUCAAAGAUGAUCCCGCGUUGUAUUAGCUAGUUGGCGAGGUAAAGGCUCACCAAGGCGAUGAUACAUAGCCGACCUGAGAGGGUGAUCGGCCACAUUGGGACUGAGACACGGCCCAAACUCCUACGGGAGGCAGCAGUAGGGAAUCUUCGGCAAUGGACGAAAGUCUGACCGAGCAACGCCGCGUGAGUGAAGAAGGUUUUCGGAUCGUAAAACUCUGUUGGUAGAGAAGAACGUUGGUGAGAGUGGAAAGCUCAUCAAGUGACGGUAACUACCCAGAAAGGGACGGCUAACUACGUG
rnacentral:rRNA from 1 species